AAAGGGAGACCUAAUUCAGGUAGGAGACGAAAAAAAAGUAGUCGCUACCAAGAAUCAAUCCCAAAAGGUCGGAGCGAGGCGAAAUUGGCUUUCAAACUAGGUUCUGGGUUCAAACAAGACCUGAAUCAGGAACAAGGGCUAUUAGCUCAGGUGGUUAGAGCGCACCCCUGGUAAGGGUGAGGUCCCUGGUUCGAGUCCAGGAUGGCCCACCUGCACAGGUGGCAAAAACAAGAGAAGCGAGGAAUCAGCACCUUAUCUUACUUAUAUAGUAAGAGAGAAUGCUGGCUCUGAGUAAAGAGUCCAGAGGAACCUUGAAAACUGCAUAGAGCUAGGUGAAAAAGCCAAAAAAGAAGACCGCAAG
rnacentral:tRNA from 1 species